AGGACGAACGCUGGCGGCGUGCCUAACACAUGCAAGUCGAACGGAGCCAGGGGCAACCCUGGUUCAGUGGCGGACGGGUGCGUAACACGUGAGGAACAUGUCUUUCGGUGGGGGAUAGCCGGCCCAACGGCCGGGUAAUACCGCAUACGCUGACUUGAGCUCCUGCUCUGGUUCGAAAGCAGCAAUGCGCCGAUUGAGUGCCUCGCGGCCUAUCAGCUAGUUGGUGAGGUAACGGCUCACCAAGGCGACGACGGGUAGCUGGUCUGAGAGGACGGCCAGCCACAUUGGGACUGAGACACGGCCCAGACCUCCUACGGGAGCAGCAGGUGGGAAUAUUGCGCAAGUGGGACGAAAGCCGUGACGCAGCGACGCCGCGUGGUGGGAUGGAAGGUCCUUGGGUUACGUAAACCGCGUGGUACGGGAGGAACGAAG
rnacentral:rRNA from 1 species